CAGAAGACAAUCUGUUAUCCUUGUCAGCCAUCAAUAUUGGGGUAUCUGAGAAAGUCCCGGCAGACUGGCUCAGCAGGAACCAGCUUCCAUAAGGGGAGGGGGAACUGAACGUCAAGCCUUAUCCUGCAAAGAGCCCUAUUUGAGAAUCUGGCCUGAUGGAGUCGUCUUCAGGACUGUGCUGGGGUUUUUGCCAAAGAUACCCUCCAUGGUGAACCUCAACCAAGAAAUCGUUCAACCUGUUUUUGAAGACACAGAAGGGUCAAUGAGAGACUGUUAACCCAUUGUGUGCCAGCUAUGGACUCUAGGAAAUGAAAAUUUAAGCAGUACAUACAAGUACAUCUGUUUAUUAUGUGAAUGUCCAGCAGACAAGCGAGGCCGCCACCCAAUGGUCUAAUUUUCUAGGUUACGCAAAUCUAAUCUAUGAGAUCAUCAUAUAACUUACUACCUGCCCUGCGACAACUAUAACAGCACCCUUUCUUGAACCCCAGAUUUGUGUACUGGACCAUGGUGAGAAGAGCUUAAAAGUAUCACUCAGAGGAGACAGAGUUAGCCAUUGACAAAGCCAUGGAUACAGCAAAACUUUGUGGAGGCGAUUUAUGUUUUUAUACAGUAGUGCCUUUCGAGAAUUGUAUUGUCCCCAUUAUAUCACAUUAUGGCUAGUAUAUAUAAUAGCUAGUCUUAGCAAAUAAAUGAGAUUAGGUGCAAACUAUAGAGAAUCGUAGCUCCACCUGGUAGUGUGAGACCACUAAGUGAAGGUUCACAACCCUAGGCGCUGACUGAGUAUUUUAGUGACUUUUGUUUGUAUGGCAUAAGAUAUUCCUUUUUAAUCAGUAUUAAUAAUGUAAGAUAUUUCAGGGGGGGCUUUAUUUGG